CUAUCAUCAGUUGCCAACAGGUAAAGCUGGGAACUCUGGUGAAACUGCCGCCGUAAGGUGAGGAAGGAGGGGAUGAUGUCAAGUCAUCAUGGCCUUUAUGCCCAGGGCUACACACGUGCUACAAUGGGGAGUACAAAGGGUUGCUACCUGGUGACAGGAUGCUAAUCUCAAAAAACUUCUCUCAGUUCAGAUUGCAGGCUGCAACUCGCCUGCAUGAAGCUGGAAUCGCUAGUAAUCGUAGAUCAGCAAUGCUACGGUGAAUACGUUCCCGGACCUU
rnacentral:rRNA from 1 species